AUGUUAGGGGUGGACUUCAUCGGACCCUUCACUAAAUCCAGGAAAGGCAACCGCUAGUUUCUGACGGUGACCAAUCACUUUACCAAGUGGGUGGAAGCAAUAUCCAUUAAGGACAAGACUGGCGAGGCCACCUCCCAAGGUGAUGGACAUCUUCAACACCCACAGUUCUCCUGAGGCCAUCUUGAAUAAAACAAGGUUUUGGAUGAACGGACCAACCAGACCCUCAAGACUGCCAUGGGCAAGUCCCUGGACAGGUACCAGGAACGGUGAGAGGACAACCUAAUUCUCUUUGCACACAACAGCAGCGUCCAGGCCUCCACAGAGUACUCGCCGAUCGCCUGAUAUGCAGACGG